rnacentral:rRNA from 1 species
ACUGAUGCGUUCAACGAGUAUACAACCUUGAUCGAUAGGUCUGGGUAAUCUUUUGAAUGCGCAUCGUGCUAGGGAUAGACUGUUGCAAUUUUCAGUCUUGAACGAGGAAUUCCUAGUAAACGCAAGUCAUCAGCUUGCAUUGAUUACGUCCCUGCCCUUUGUACACACCGCCCGUCGCACCUACCGAUUGAAUGACUCGGUGAAAAAUUGGGACCGUGAGUCCGUUUGCUUCAUUGCGAGUGGAUUGAUGGGAACUUUUUUAAACCUCGCCAUUUAGAGGAAGGUGAAGUCGUAACAAGGUUUCCGUAGGUGAACCUGCGGAAGGAUCAUUU